CUGCCUCGGUUGUGGCUGCCCUUGCCGUCGGCACUCGCUGCUCCUCUCCCUCCUAUUUCGCUGCUCUCCUUAUGGUGUUGUUUUGAAAUUGUGGUGUUGUAAAGUGGUGGUGGAAGAGGUGAGGGGAGGUUGCUCAUAUAGCCAUGGAUUUGGCUGUUUUGUGACCGAUUCUUGGGGGCAAAGACUUACUAUUUUCGGUUGCAUCUCAGCUCACUUUUGAGCUUUGCUAAGAGGAUUUGCAUACUAAUUUGGUGAAAUUCUUGAGAGUUCCAUGGGGCUAUCCUGCUCCCUGCAGGGGCUUCCCUUUUUGGCUUGUGGGUCCUCAAGAUGCACUUGGCUGUCCCGAUUUGGAGUCUUAUGAGGAGCCAUUUCUCGAGAAGGAGGAGGUGAAGAGCAAGAGAUCUUGUCCUAGGAGCAUAUCCCUUGUUUCUAUUGGUGUAGCCAAUUCUUAGGCUUGAGGCUAGUAGGAUAAUAGUAGCUGUACAUUAUUCAUUCCUUUAUAUUUUUGUCCCAAAAAUAUGUAUGCACUUUGUAUUUUCAAUCACAUCCCAUGUAUUUCUAUUUCUUUAAGCA